GACGAACGCUGGCGGCGUGCUUAACACAUGCAAGUGGAGCGACGAACCAGGGCUUGCCCUGGGGCAGAGCCGCGAACGGGUGAGUAACACGUGGGUAACGUGCCCCGAUGACUGGGACAACCCGGGGAAACCCGGGCUAAUACCGGAUGUGCCCCCUCACAUCAGUGAGGUGUGUAAAGGAAGCUUCGGCCUCCGCAUCGGGAUCGGCCCGCGGCCCAUUAGCUUGUUGGUGAGGUAACGGCCCACCAAGGCUGCGAUGGGUAGCUGGUCUGAGAGGACGAUCAGCGCCACUGGGACUGAGACACGGCCCAGACUCCUACGGGAGGCAGCAGUGGGGAAUCUUGCGCAGUGCGCGAAAGCGUGACGCAGCAACGCCGCGUGGGGGAAGACGGCCUUCGGGUUGUAAACCCCUUUCAGUUGGGACGAAGGUCGGGCGGUUAACAGCCGUUCCGGCUGACGGUACCUGCACAAGAAGCCCCGGCUAACUACGUG
rnacentral:rRNA from 1 species